rnacentral:tRNA from 1 species
GGUGGCUCAGUGGUAGAGUGCUUGCCUUGCAUGCAUGAAGCCUUGAGGUCAAUUCCUCAGCACCA